GGAGGUCUACUCCGGACGCCGGGACCUAUGGACUGAAAAUCCGUGUGUCGUCGGUUCGAUUCCGACCCUGGCCA
rnacentral:tRNA from 1 species